GGCAGCUGGCCGCGUAUGUUCCCAUUCGGAACCCUGGAAUAGACUUCAUUGCUCCUCUGUGGAUUGACCUUGACAACAGAUAUGGAGGAACUAUCUCUUAUAGAGAGCAUACAAGUAGUGCUGUACUGGCACAAGUCACUGAAGCUGUUAAUCAAUACGUCCCUAACAUACCUUUUGCUGCUACUUCAGUUUUUGUCGCUACCUGGGACAGUGUGCCAUACUAUAAUGGUGGAGGGGUAAGAUCUAAUCAUUAUUUAUCAACAAAUUAGUGUUGUCCUUUGAAGGGUGAAGAUUUUUAAUGCUGUCUGUUGGUAUUUCGAAGUUGGUUACUUUCCAGGUGGUUUUAGUCUCCAGUGUUCAUUGCUCUUUCAUCCUGAUCAACUAUGGAGACAUUGCAGAAACAGGACAAAUUUGGCUGGCUGGUUACAACACGGUGGACUCUGUCAAUUCUUUCACAAUUCCAGUAACCAGUGCCCCAGAACUCUCAUCCAGCAGCAAUAUCAAUGUGAAUGGUCACUGGUCCUUCCAUGUUGAUGGCUCACCAAUCUGUGCGUCUCAAUAAUCGUCUUAUUGUUUGCAAUAAAAGCCAUUGUAACAGGAAACUUACUUUAACUGUACCAUUUUAAGUAUAUGUUUCUGUAGCAGAACUAAAAAAUUUAUUCUCUUUUUUUUUUUUUUUUUUCAUAGUGCCAGCUAAUUUAUUGCCUUCCGGAAAUGGAGAAAUAGUAAACUGCAUAUCUGAUGUUGGAAGCUCGGAAGCCAUUGCUUUGCAGCAGCCUUUCAAAUACUUUGAACACACAUACAAUCGGACCUUUGUAAGCAUUUUUUUGUUGUUGUUUAAAGAUAUCUGUGAGAAUUCUUUACUUCUGAAGAAAGAAAGAAAGAAAGAAAGAAAUUCAAAUUAAUUUUAAUGGGUUUUAAGAGGGUAAGUCUUGGUUAGUCAAAUAUAUGUCCUUUAAAACACACUUUUUUUUUUUUUUUUUUAUUUUAGGUAAACAACAAUGGCCAUCUAACAUUUUCAGAGCCACUGUCCACCUACACCCCCCCUUGUGAAUUCUGGAAGAGACAUUAUUGCUCCUCUUUGGACUCACCUUGUGUUACGUAUCCGGCGCCUGCUGGUUCCUGCUACUCCCCACCAGAGGUCGCCGGUUCACCAUUUCAGUGCACACACAGUUAUACAUCACUCUGGACUACAUUUCCCAUAAUUCCCCAUCUAGGAACCAAUUACACACUCGCACCUGUUUCCCAUCAGUGGACCCUUUAUAAGCUGCACCCAGACACACACACAGGGCUGAGUAUUGUUUAGUCAUAUGUUUUCCGUUUUAAUCCUUGUUCCUAGUUCCUAGCCUUGCUGAUGGCCACAGAGCUUGGCCCAUCUUUAUUACCAGCAUGUACUGUUUUAAAGAUUACUAGCCCUGUGCUUUAUGCCUCUUCCUGCCCUGUAAUUGCCACGCCUGAGCCCUCAGCUAAGAUGGCUGCCACGCUUGAGCUCUCAGCUAAGAUGGCUACCAUGCUUGAGCCCUCAGCUAAGAUGGCUGCCACGCUUGAGCCCUCAGCUAAGAUGGCUGCCAUGCUUGAGACCUCAGCUAAGAUGGCUGCCAUUCCUGAACCUAGUCAAGUCAUAGUUGAUCUUCCUGAACCUAGUCAAGUCACAGUUGAUCUUCCUGAGUCAGGUCAAGUCACAGUUGAUCUUAGUGAGCCCAGUCAAGUCACAGUUGAUCUUACUGAACCUAGUCAAGUUACAGUUGAUCUUUGUGAGCCCAGUCAAGUCACAGUUGAUCUUCGUGAGCCCAGUCAAGUCACAGCUGAUCUUCCAGAGCCCUGUCACGUCACAGCUGAUCUUCCAGAGCCUUGUCACGUCUCCGUUGAUCUUCCAGAGCCCUGUCACGUCUCCGCUGAUCUUCCAGAGUCACGUCACGUCUCCGCUGAUCUUCCAGAGUCAGUCACGUCACGUCUCCGCUGAUCUUCCAGAGUCACGUCACGUCUCCGCUGAUCUUCCAGAGCCCUGUCACGUCUCCGCUGAUCUUCCAGAGCCCUGCCACGUCUCUGCUGAUCUCGGUUUACCGUAGUCAACCGGAUCUGGGCCGUAUCCAGGUGAAAUUGAGGACCUGCACCUUGACACGACCACAACGCAGCCCUGAAGUAUCAGCAGAGAUUGAGUCAACUAGAUCAUCCACUGUGAAGGCCUCAUCGUCUCGACAGCCAGUGGCACAGUUCCUCAACAAACCCCAUACUGGAGUGAUGAAUAUGAUCCUUAACUGGAUGGAACUGGAAUAAAUACUUUGAAUGUUGCGGUCCCAUCGGACUUAUGAUAGCUACCUGAAUCGUAACAAAGCACUGUUCGCCAGAGGAGAACUGGCCCACUGACUAAGCCUGGUUUCUCCCAAAGUUUUUUUCUCCAUUUUAACACCUGUUUGCCACUUGUUUGCCACCUGAUGUCACCUGUUGGAGUUUGGGUUCCUUGCCGCUGUCGUCUUUGGCUUGCUUAGUUGGGGACACUUAACAUUUGAUAUUCAACAGUGCUUUAAUCUGCCUGCAUUGACACCAUUUUCUUUAAGAGCUGCUGUGCAGCCAAAUAAUGUACCAGUUAUCACUGUAAAGCUACUUUGACACAACCUGCAUUGUAAAAAGUGCUAUAUAAAUAAAGGUGACUUGACUUGACUUGACUAUGGCUCCUACCUUCCCCUCAUCCAUUUGGAUGCCACUGCUGCUGAUGUUAUAUCCAAGGAAUUGCACUGAGGGUCGAUGGAAGUAGCACUUCUCAGCUUUGAGGAAUAAUUGGAACUCUCUCAGGCAUUUCAGGACCUCCGCAACGUGGUGGUGAUAUUCGGCCAUGCUCCGGGAGUAGAUCAGGAUAUCGUCGAUGUAGACCAGGACAAACUUGUGGAGGAACUCCCGGAGCACCUUAUGGAUGAAACCCUGGAAUACGCAGGAGGCGUUGACCAGGCCAUAUGGCAUAACGCAGUAUUCAUAGUGUCCAGUAGGGGUCACAAAAGCUGUCUUCCACUCGUCAGUUCAGAUAAGCAAUUCAAAAUCACAAGCAUUGACAGAAACUAACAGGACAGAUAGGUCAUAAUUGGGCACAUUUGGGAGCACAGACAAGGCAGACAGUUCAUUUGCAGAGCCAACAGGAAGUUCAUGUAUGGUUUCUGGGGACGUGACAGGGUUAACAGGGCAGGAAAAAGGUUCAUUUAUGACCUCUGUGGUCAGUUCAGGACUGAAUGAAAGUUCACAGACAGCCUCUGCGACUGGAUCGAGAAAGGACAACAGUUUACAGACGGCCUCCGUGGCCGAUUCAGGACUGGACUGCACCUCUGAGGCUGGGCUGGGACAGGACCCAAGUUCACAAAUGGCCUCUGUGGCUGCUUCAGGACUGGACGAGAGUUCACAGACAGCCUCUGUGGCUGAUUCAGGACAAGAUGAAAGUUCACAGACAGCCUCUAUAGCCGUGACAGAACAGGCAGAUAAGUGGAAACCACUGACACCUCUGGAGGUUCUGCAGCGAUUGCCGCCACCUCUGGAGGUUCUACAGCAGUAACAUCGGGAAACAGGGAGGAUUCAGUAAUGGUCUCUUCAACCACGACACGACAGGCUGAGAGUGUAUCGCUGGACGCCACCAUCAUGCAAGGAGCUGACGCGAGCGCCGCCGCCUCGUGAGGUUCUGCAGCAUAUGCCUGCCACCUCAAGGGAAAUUGCAGCGGGCUCCGCUACCAUCAGAGGUUCUGCAGCAUAAGCUGCCACCUUUGGAGAUUCAUUGGUGGUGUACGCGGUCCAGAUACACCAGAAAGCGACCCCCAUUAUGGGGAGCGCUGCGGACAGUGGAAUCAGUUCAGGAACAGGAGGGAGCUGAUUUGGGGAUACCAGCGGCACAUGCUGACACCAGCGGUGUAUCCCACAUACUGGAUACCAGACUGGGAUACUAAAGGACUGACCUCAAAGAUUUGGGUGUAACAGACAAGACAUGACCAGACUCUGGAUGAUCCGCUGUGAUGUGACGCGAUUCUGGAUGAUCAGCUGAGACAUGACGUGACUCUGGAUGAUCAGCUGAGAUGUAACAGGGCUCUGGAAGAUCUGCUGAGAUGUGACAGGGCUCUGGAAGGUCUGCUCAGACGUGACAGGGCUCUGGAAGGUCUGCUGAGACGUGACGAGGCUCUGGAAGAUCUGCUGAGACGUGACAAGGCUCUGGACGAUCUGCUGAGACAUGACGAGGCUCUGGACGAUCUGCUGAGACGUGACGAGGCUCUGGACGAUCAGCUGAGACGUGACGAGGCUCUGGAAGAUCAGCGGAGACGUGACGUGGCUCUGGACGAUCAGCGGAGACGUGACGUGACUCUGGACGAUCAGCGGAGACGUGACGUGACUCUGGACGAUCAGCGGAGACAUGACGUGACUCUGGAUGAUCAGCAGUGACUUGA